GAUGUCGGAAAAGAAAAACAAGUACUCCACUCCAGAGUCUGUGGCCAUCGGUGAAUUGAAGAGAACCAGCAAAGAAAACAUGAACUUAUUGUCUGGCUCCCCAGCUGUCACGAUUUCACCAACACGAUUGAAAUGGUCUGAGGGGAAGAAAGAGGGGAAAAAAGGAUUCCUCUGAAGAAUUCAGAGCUCUCUUGCCGUCCACCCAGAAUCUUCUCUUUAGUGGACCAGGUGUUCUGACUGCUCCAGUGAAGCUCGGACUUGCAGCCUGCUUGCUGCAUUGAGAAUUGUGAAAGCCAACUAAUACCAUGACCCGACUGCUACCUCUAACCCUCCCUGGAUGUGUUUGUAAACUGUGCCUUCCGAGGGCACCAGGCUUGCCCUCCCUCUCUUCUAACAUUCCGGGAAGCCACUAACUAGCUACAUCCAACACAGCAUAGUCAAUGGGCAGAGCUGAGGCUCUGGGGCUUAUGCACUGUGGCCAGGCCGCUUCCAUUUUUAAAAAAAUAUGAAAUUUGUGCACAACCGCUAGCAAUUUUUUUAAAAAGCACUAUCCAUCUUAGUGGAUUGAGGUUAUGUUUAGUGGAUAUUUUGGGGUUUUCUGUGUUUUAUCAGUGUUGGGAUCUUUGGUUGUUGUUUGUAUUUGUUUAUUGUUUAUUUCUUUGAUUUAAAAGCCAUUUUUGGGAUGGGCUCUAAGCUAGAUGCCUUCUUUCCCUUUUCCCCUGAGCUUUGAGUAUGCGCUUUAUCUCACGAGGCUGUGUUCCUCAAUGCCUAAUUGUGUCCAAAGACUUCAUA